rnacentral:rRNA from 1 species
UACGUAGGGGGCGAGCGUUAAUCGGAAUUACUGGGCGUAAAGCGUGCGCAGGCGGUUCGUUGUGUCGGUGGUGAAAUCCCCGGGCUUAACCUGGGAAUGGCCAUGGAAACUGGCGAACUGGAGUGCGGCAGAGGGGGGUGGAAUUCCGCGUGUAGCAGUGAAAUGCGUAGAGAUGCGGAGGAACACCGAUGGCGAAGGCAGCCCCCUGGGCUAGCACUGACGCUCAGGCACGAAAGCGUGGGGAGCAAACAGG